rnacentral:rRNA from 1 species
AUGCCUUGCCAGUCUGAAAUCACGAACCCGGAAUUUGAGCUUGUUCUUGAGAAAAUCAGUGACAAGGAAGUGGUUGGCGUGCAUUUUCUUUCCGUUCCAGCUAGAGUACGAGGUCAUAACAGUGGAGACACCUCUGAUGAUAGAAUUGUAAUAAGCAGGCAUAUGGAUAGUCAUCAGCCCAUGGGCGUCGAUGACUGUAUUGUUCUCGUUGAUCCCCAUAAACGUACCACCAUCACCAACAUAGUGCUUUGCACAUGCAGCAACUUUCUUAUCCACCAACGUAUGGCCUUCCCUCAGAACCAGCCGGAACGUCACCUUGCAGACCAGAGAUAA